rfam:Felis catus isolate Cinnamon breed Abyssinian chromosome E3, whole genome shotgun sequence.
GCCUGGGUGGCUCAGUUGGUUGAGCGUCUGACUUCAGCUCAGGUCAUGAUCUCACGGUUUGUGGCUUCGAGCCCCACAUUGGGCU